GAUUAUAGUUCAGCGUCUAGAUAUCCCUGCUAUGUCAAAGUCCUUUGAAAUACAACCUGAGCUGCAGAUUUACGACCAUCAAACUGCAUCUUUAUUCCAAUGUGAAACAGAGCAAGAGCCAUGCAGAGCAGCUAUCUGGAGGAGCAGGACGAGGGAGCAGCAAUGAGGAGUGUGAAAGCAGCAGCCCUCUGCAGAAGGGGCAGCAGGCUCUGGCUCAGCACCAUGGCAGAGAGCAGCCCCGUCCCACAGCCCCCGCACCGUGUCUGAGCCAGGACUGCCCCGCUCCUGCUGCGAGCACAGCUCCCUGCACUUGCACGUUCGAAUAAACAACUAUAUUGGGUUAAAAAGUGACCAGAAACACGCUGGUGGGGUCAUACUCCAGCCGCCACCACUUGCCCUCCUGCGUCCCCACCUGAAACCGCAGCCCCGCUGAUGGCAGCUCAGGUCCUCCCGGACCUCUCACCACGAGCCCUGACCUCUCGUCCACCCAGCUGAGCCUAAUGAGAUCCAGCUACUACACAAAACAGCAAAUUAGCUCUUUUCCCACCGCCCAGACCAGCUGAUUCUCAGUUGCAGGGAGGCAGGAACAGCCCCUGGUCCUCACAGGGCUGGGCUCAGCA